UAUUUCAACUUGAACAUGAAACGUGUACUCUGAAGUGAACUUUUCUUAUGUUCAUGAACAAAUUAAAAAGACAUCCAUUAGACAAGAAGAGUACAUCGAACUUGAUCUGUAAAGGAAACAAAGCAUGGACCUAACAUCCAUUGUUUUAUAUGUAGCGCUGUGUAUUAUUGGACUUGAUGGAGACUCAGAUUCAUUCCCAGAAGAAGAAGAGGAGGAGGAUUGGGUGUCAUGCUUGGAGAAAAAGCCACUCUGCGAUAACAUUAUCGCACACACCGACAUCAAUAAAACAACAGUAAAUCAACAAAUUUGCAGUGAUAUCAUUGACUUUUUUUCUUGUGUCGAAGCUGCGCUCGCUCUGUGCGAUAACGACUCGGACAAACAUACGAUGCUAGCCAUGAAAACUAGAGAAAUCAAUCUGAUCUCACAGCGAUAGGAUACUGAUGAAAAAGACGAUACGGCCCAUGUAGGAGGUGACUCAACAGGGAAGAAAAAUUCGGGCCACAAAGAGGCUGCUGCCUCGCUCCUCACGUUUGCUGUGUUCAUGUCAGUGCUCAGUGGAGUAAAGGUUACGGUUCUUUGAUGUCUCGUAGAUGGUGAAACGUGACUAGCUGGAGGUUCAUAGAAGCUCGUUGAUCAUAAGAGUCGGAUACAAAUAAAACCAUUUGAUACACAUCAUCCUAAAUGUAUUCCAGAACAUUGUUUCAAACUGUGCAUGACUUGUGUGAUGAUGGACUAGCUCUGAAUUAAAUUUCUAAGAAUCAACGUU